CUCACACACACACACACACACACAGUCUGUAAAUAUGUAAAUACAUUCUAAGAUAUCUAGGCCUACAUCUCUCUAGAGUGCAGUAAAAAAUGUUUAUCAUUAAUAUUAUCAUCAACAACUGACUCAAUUCAGAAACACACACAAACACACACGUAUGCACACCCUCUCUCUUUCUCUCCUUUUCUGUAGUCUCUGGUAGCCAAGGCGUUGGGUGGUGGUCAGAGUGAAGAGGAUGGGGGGAGGAUUCAGAGGAAAGGAGAGCAGGUCCACCACCCUGUCCAGUGUGGUGUCUGUGGCCGCUCAAAAGCACAAACACCAGUGAAUGGAGACAGCACCUGGUUUUGUUCUCUGCGCCCCAGCACUGCCUGUUCACCGGCCCCAAGCACUGCCUCUGCCCCCAGUAUUGACUGGUGAUCGGCCCCCAGCCCAUCUCCCGUACCGAGAUGCAGUGCAGAAUUAGAAACAAUCUCCAUGCAGGACCUGGGAAGCUCUAUCCUGUGCCCACCUCUAAGACCUACUCCACUGGCUUGUUCCUCAGCGAUGCCACAGAGCAGCAGCAGUAGUGGCAGGGGUGUGAGGAGAAGGGAGAAAAGAGCUGCAGACUCAGCCCUUGACACAUCACUCACAAAGGCAUUGCAAAUGAUUGAAGCCAUAUCUCAAGAUCUGGGGAACGUCAUGCACCGACCACCAGCUUGUCCCGGACGGUCCUGGCACCUAUAGCUGAUUUCAUGGAUGAACUCUUGCCAAAACUCCGGGAGGAAUUCGAUCACCAGCUGCAUGAGUUCAUGCAUGACUUCACGAAGAGGACAUGGACCGAACGACUGGGACCACAGUGAAAUUAACUUGUUCUGUUGUUGUUCAGACAUCUCAGGAGUCAGACACUAGACACUUUCAUUUUAGUCCAUUGACACUUUUGUUAUCUACAUGUCUGUUCAUAAGACAUGGUUCUACUAUUGAUCAGUAAUAUUUAUAUUGCUCAUAAAUAUUUGUAUCUACACUCUUGACAUUUUAUUUUUGAACCUUUUGUUUACAUGUCUGUUCAUAGCAGACACUGUUGUACUAUUGUUCAGAAAUAUUUGUAACUACACUCUGACACUUACAUUUUAUUCCAUAGAAACUUGUUUACAUGUCAGUUCUCAGCAGACACUUUUGUAUUGUGGUUUA